rnacentral:lncRNA from 1 species
UUUAAAAAAACCAAUAUAAUUAAUAUUUUAAGGAAAAUGAGAAAAAAAAAAACGAAAUCAAUUCCUACUUUUUUCUUCUUCAUUAAUUCUUUGUCCUUUUUUUCUAACUCUUCUAUUUCAUCACUUCUUCAUUAAUUUUGAAAUUAUGUUAUCAAAUAUUAUUCAGAAAUUCUCAACCUCUUUUAGAUAAUACUAAUACAUUGAAAUCUCAAAAUCAUAUAUCUAAUUCCAAAUACCCCAUAUAAAAGCCAUCAUUUUUGCCGAUUGAGACCACCAUUGGUAUUAAAAGAUUUCAGUUGUCGAGUCCAGGCCUAUAUUACGUUGACGCCUGUAACUAACCCUUCAUCAUUGGAGUUGGCAAAAUUUAAUAUAAUCCGAUAACCCAACAUGAACAUAAUGCAAAUAAAUAGAUAUGAGUUAUCAAAUUUGACACAAUUAUUAAAUGGGCUAGGACCAGGUCGAUACAAUUUUUUUUGUUUGUGUUGGACUAGGGUAAAAAACUUUGAUCCAUUUGCCCAUUAAGGACAGAAUUUAUUUUCUAUUCGAAAUCAAUUUAUAGGUUAUUGUUAUUGAAGUUCAAAUAUUAGACAUAAUUCGCUCUUUUUCUUCUUCUUUUUUUUUUUGGGUAGGGUAAGAAGGAUGGACAUAUACAUGGUGUUUCAUUUAUAAGAUUCUAUAUAAAUUUAGAACUUCAAUAGCGUAAAAUAUUGGUGGACAUAUGUAAUUUAUUAUAUCAACACACACACACACACACACACACAUAUAAUGGAGUGCAAAAGUUUAAUGGAAAUCUUGUUAAAUACAUAGACGUUAGUCGGAUUAUUGGGUACCCUAUUUAUUUUUGGUGUCGUGUUGAAUCUCAAUAUUUUGACAUGAUUAGUAAAUGGGCUGCGUUUAGGUCAGUCUAAAUUUGAAAAUUCGCGAACACAACUUGGUGACUCAUUUUGCUAGCUCUAUUCAUUGCUAUUGCGUGUAAUAACAUAAAUCCCAAGGAUAUGCAUGCAACAACCCCAAAUCUCAUACCACUGUGUGUAGCACCCUAAAACCUAAUGUUGUAGCAAACUAGCAACCAGUUGAGCUUUGAACAGCCACAAGUUAUUUUAUCUUCUUCACAAGCCUAAACCUACAACAACCCUUCCUCAGGGGGGGCUCAACCCUUUAAGAGGCCUUAAACAAAUUAUUUUAAUUAGACCUUCUUAAACAAAAUACAUGUACUAAGUUUAUUAAAAAAAUUAAUCAUUUAAGACUAAUUCUUCCAU